rnacentral:rRNA from 1 species
GAUGAACGCUGGCGGCGUGCCUAAUACAUGCAAGUCGAGCGAACAGACGAGGAGCUUGCUCCUUUGACGUUAGCGGCGGACGGGUGAGUAACACGUAGGUAACCUACCUAUAAGACUGGGAUAACUUCGGGAAACCGGAGCUAAUACCGGAUAAUAUUUCGAACCGCAUGGUUCGAUAGUGAAAGAUGGCUUUGCUAUCAUUUAUAGAUGGACCUGCGCCGUAUUAGCUAGUUGGUAAGGUAACGGCUUACCAAGGCAACGAUACGUAGCCGACCUGAGAGGGUGAUCGGCCACGCUGGAACUGAGACACGGUCCAGACUCCUACGGGAGGCAGCAGUAGGGAAUCUUCCGCAAAGGGCGAAAGCCUGACGGAGCAACUCCGCGUGAGUGAUGAAGGUCUUCGGAUCGUAAAACUCUGUUAUUAGGGAAGAACAAACGUGUAAGUAACUGUGCACGUCUUGACGGUACCUAAUCAGAAAGCCACGGCUAACUACGUG